UUGAAUCAGAGCUGCAGCUGCGGGCCAAUGCCACAACCACAGCAACACCAGAUCCGAGCUGCAUCUGUGACCUAUGCCAAAGCUUGUGGCAAUGCUGGCCCUUGACCCACUGAGCAAGGCCAGGGAUCGAAUCUGAAUCUUCACAGACAAUGUUGGGUUCUUAACUCCCGAGCCACAACGGGAACUCCCUGAGCCAUUUCUAAAAGUAAAAUGAAACUCCAUGUUGUUGUGUGUAUUUGGUCUUUCCACAUAUAUGACCUCUUUAAUCCUCACAAUAACUUCCUAAAGUUAUUUUACAGAGGAGGAAAUCGAGUCUUGAGAGUUUCCCCAAGAGUUGGCCCCUUGAAUCGGCGGGGUAGGAAUUUGAGCUCUGUCUUUCUGAUGCCACCUUUUUUUUUUUUUUCCUUUCUUUUUGGCCAUACCCCUAGCAUGAGGAAGUUUCUGGGCCAGGGAUGGAACCCGAGCCACUGCAGUGACAAUGCCAGAUCCUUAACCUACUGCAUCAAAAGGGAGCUCCCUGAUGCCGCUUUUGUACUGAACUUCACUGCCUCAAUUCAGCCUAAAUUUCCUGACCAAUAUAUAAAAGCAGGACCUGUCAACUGAAAGGCCAAAAGUCUCUCCCAAGAGAACAGUAAACCCGAGCCUAAAAAAGACUCAGGAAAGCUUAAAACUGUGCUACUUUUUUAUUUUUAGGACCAUGCUAUAUGGUGGAAGUUACUUACAAUUUAAAGUCCUAGUUUCUAAAGGCAUGUAAUUUUCUCACCGUGAAUUGAGAAGAAAGUCUCAGAAAAAAAAUCCCUUCUUCCAUAAUCUCACAUACUUAACAUGUUUCAAAACAUAGGUGAGCCCACACCUUUGCAUAAAAUCCCUUUUAAAAAAACUUCAUCCAUCGAACUCUUUAAAAGGAAUUUGAGACAAGAAUUCUUAAUACUCCCUCUUGCGCUGACUGGCCUGCUUCGAAAAUAAACAUAACCGAAUCCUUUCUCCUCACAUGAAGAUGAAAUUUAGGAAAACUCCCCUGGUGACAGUACUUUCACCACCCACUGUCUCCUUUGUUUGCUAUGGUGUCAGUGCCAACAACUCCACACACACCUGCCACGUCACCGUCACUGUGCCCCCUCCCUAACUCCUUCCUGCCCUGUGCUGCGGCCACCAGCUCCACACAGGCUGGGGCCAGGUUUGCCCAGGGACAGUGGGAAAGUGCCUGUUAGGUCUGGCUUCCUGCCCCCGGGCUGCUCCAAGUGCUUGUGGCAGGGUGCCAGAGGGACCUGCCUUGAGGCUAAUCAUGCACAACCAGCAGGGCCGGCGCUUAACAGUUAACCCCUGAGCCGUGACCCUGGAGACAAAGGGUGAGUGUUUCUUUUUUUCCUUCACCCAGGACACAGUUCAGAGACUCAGAGGGCCUGGUAGAAUCCCAGACCCCUUCACUCUUUCCCCUCUUUCCUCUUUCACUUCUCUGCCCUCCACUCCUGUCCCUUGAUCUUCAAUAAACCUUGAUCUUGGGCUGUACUUCCUGAAAGCCCACACCAGGAUAAGGCAGGAGCAUACCGGGGGUUAGAAAGCAGGUCCUAGAAUAAAUCAAAGCUCAGCUCCACCAGGGCAAACUAUCUGGCCUUGAACCAAGUUACCUGAUCUUGUUGUGGUUUCUCCAUUUUCUCAUCCAGAAAUGCGGAUUACAGUAAUAAGAAACAAGACUUAGCCUUUCUGGGUAAGAAGGGGGACGUGUGGGCAAGACGAGGGAAGAGAGGUAACAUCAGACAACAGAGGAAAGCAUAAGGGCAUAGCUUGGAACGUGGGGUCAAAAAACAGUCAUCUUUAUCCAGUUACCAUGCAUCCUACCUAAACGCUAGGAACUUGAAAACCAUUAUUUUAUUAUAUCAUCCUGCAAGUGGGUUAUUAGCCCCAUUUUAGAGAGUUAAAAAUAGAGGCCGAGCAAAAUUAGGAGACUUGUCUAAGGUAGAAUUGUUCUCAGAUUGGUCUGGCUUUCAACACUCUUCUUUUUCUGGAUGCCAGAUAAAGAGAAGAGCCAUGCAUUUGUGUUUGCUGUUAACGGUGGUGGUUUUUAAAGCAGCUCGUCUUGAAACAGGCACUUGCAGAACUGCUACGAUUUGCAUUUGCAGAGAUGGAGGAACAGCAAGAAGCAGAAGCCCACGGCAACAUCCAGUACCUGUGCACGGGACCUACAUGAGAGGGUGGAUUUGGAACCUGUCAUUUGGUCAGAUUGGGCAGGGUCUGAAAGGUCAGGCUAAAGUGCUUGUAUUCAUUCAUUUGGAAAAGGAGAUGAGAGCCAUUUUCAACGGGUCUUUAGCCCAGGGAUGGCUGUGUCCCACUUUGAAACAAUAGCAUCUCCUUGGCAACCAGAACCCGACUAGGAUUUCAGGGCAGCAUAGAAACAGGAUCUGCAAGAUAACUGCGUUGCCUCCUUCUGGAAGUUUCCUGAAUAUUGUGGAUAAUUUCCUGAGUGCUUUUGCACAUCCCCCUUGAUGACACCAGGCCAUGACUGGUAAAGCCUAAGAUCCUCGGAGCAAACGGCUGACAUAUAAGGCCUCACCUUCUCACGCGCAUGUACACAAACCCUCCUGAUGCCCAGGACCCAUGUGAGAACCUUCACAUCUGGGGCCAGCUAUGCGAUGCUGAAACAGAUAAAGUUUAAGUGAUGGAGGGAGUUCCAUCAUGGCUCAGAAGUAAUGAACCCAUCUUGUAUCCGUGAGGAUGCAGGUUUGAUCCCUGGCCUCGCUCAGUGGGUUAAGGAUCCAGCAUUGUCAGGAGCUGUGGUGAAGGCUGGCAGCUGCCGCUCUGAUUCAACCCCUAGCCUGGGAACUUCCACGUGCCGCAGGUGUGGUCCUAAGAAAAAAAGCAAAAAAAAAAAAAAAAAAAAAAAAGUGUUUAAGUGAUGGAUGUGGUGGAUUGCUUGCAUAAAUAGCACCAGUUGAUAUUCCUUCCUGCAUCCACCUCCUUUGGAAUGUGACACAAUAACUUCUCUUGUCAAAAGGUGGGGUCUAUGUCCCCACUUCCUUGAAUAGGGGCUCUUCCUGUGACCGAGUUGGCCAACAGUGUGGCAGCAGUGGCCCUGUACAAGCCACAGUCCUGAGCUUGAAGAGGCUUCGCCUGCUUCCACUCACUCGCAGAAUCCGGACGUGCUGGAUUCACUUGCAACAAGCUGAAUGGUCCCUGAGCUGCUGGCCAAGGUAUGGAAACACCCACCUAAGAUCAGUAAUGUCAUUUAGCCUGCCUACAACUGCUGCUGACUCAUAGGAGCGCCUCCCCAGCCCAGGUCAGGUCAGCAGAAGCAACCCGCCAACCCACGGUCUCAUAAGCAAAACUCCAGAGGUAUUGGGCACCAUUGAGGUUUUCCUGUUGUUCGUUACACAGCAUGGCUGUGGCAACAGAUGACUAUUAUGACGUAAGUGCUGGAGGUGGCUGGCGCUUCAGCCACAGAGAGUCUGGAUUGGGAAAUUUCUUCUUCUAUCACAGUCUAUCAAGGAUGGCCUUGGGAACUGUCAUAGGGAUUUUCCUUUGUAAUCUCUAGAGUCACUGUGGCUGGUAACUUGGUCCUUCGCUCAUCUCUGCCUUCAAUGAUGUCCAAGUCACCCACCAUGGGGUGACAUGAGUCACAUGCAUGCUACGCUUGUCCUUCUGUCUUCGUCCUCACUAUUUUAGACCCCAAGCAUGACCGUACCCAUAACUGGGCUGGUGGGUUAAGGACCAAAAUACCCAAAAUUUAGAGUAGAAGAGUCACCAAGGGAGUUCCCGCGAUGGCACAGUGGGUUAAGAACCGUUCUGCAGCUGUUCGAUCCCUAGCCUAGUGCAGUGGGUUAAAGGAUCCGGCCUUGCUGCAGCUGUGGCUUGGGUUCAGCUCCUGGUCCGGGAACUUCCAUAUGCUGUGGGUGCAGCCAUCAGAGAAGAGAGAGAGAGAAUCACUGAGGAAUGUGUUAAAAAUCCAGAAAUUCUGGUUUAAUGAAUACAGCGCAGACACCAGGACCCUCCAUUUCUAAAAACACACCCCAGGUACCCGAGAGCCACAGCGUCAGACUUUGAGGGGAAACUGGUUGGGUUAUAAGAUGAGCUUUCCAGUUCCGAAUGUAAUAAAAUGACAAUACAGGGUGACACCACAGGGUCAUCAUUGAAGUCCAUGAAAAGAAAGAAAAGAAGGAAACCAAACCGCAGAAAGACAAGCAGCACAGAAGGUAAUGGAACCAUGAAUAAGGUAAAAGGAAAAGAAAUAUUUUUCUCUUGGCUUUUCAAUGAUGUUUCCUGCUCUACUUGUUUUUCUACCUCAGGCGGAGUUUAGGCUCCAUCAAUUUUUCUCAACCACGUGGCACCUAGAAUCACCUGAGGAUUUAAAAAUACUGACAUAUGAGAACCACCCCUCCCACCCCCCCACCCCCCAUCCCAACCACCCCCAAGUCCACUU
rnacentral:lncRNA from 1 species